CAAUAGCGUAUAUUAAAGUUGUUGCGGUUAAAAAGCUCGUAGUUGGAUUUCUGCAUGGAAGGAGCGGUCUGCCUUUUGGGUUUGUAACUGUAACUUUCGUGCAUCUUUCUGAUGAAACGUUCUUCACUUCAUUGUGGGGGCGCAUGACUCAGAACUUUUACUUUGAGGAAAUGAGAGUGUUUCAAGCAGGCAAAUGCCUUGAAUACGUUAGCAUGGAAUAAUAAGAUAAGACUUGGGUCAUUAUUUUGUUGGUUUGCGGAUCGAGGUAAUGAUUAAUAGGGAUAGUUGGGGGUAUUCAUAUUUAAUUGUCAGAGGUGAAAUUCUUGGAUUUAUGAAAGAUGAACUUAAGGCGAAAGCAUUUACCAAGGAUGUUUUCAUUAAUCAAGAACGAAAGUUAGGGAGUCGAAGACGAUCAGAUACCGU
rnacentral:rRNA from 1 species